AGAGUGACCUUGGAGAUACAUCACGAUAUCACGCAAAGAGAUGCAGAUGGAUCUUUGAGCGUAUGUGAUGAAGAGUUAUACUCAUUUACGGUGGAGUCUCUCUCUGUAGCCCAGGCUGGAGUGCAAUCAUGUGAUCUCGGCUCCCUGCAGGCUCUGCCUCCCAGGUCCCUGUUCAAGCAGAAACCUGAACCAAGUGAACAA